AGAUUGAACGCUGGCGGCAUGCCUAACACAUGCAAGUCGAACGGGAGUAGCAAUACUCUAGUGGCGGACGGGUGAGGAAUACGUAGGAAUUUGCCCUUAAGUGGGGGAUAACCCGGGGAAACCCGGAUUAAUACCGCAGGACCUCGAAAGAGCAAAGUGGGGGAUCGCAAGACCUCACGCUUUUGGAGAAGCCUACGUCGGAUUAGCUAGUUGGUGAGGUAAUGGCUCACCAAGGCGACGAUCCGUAACUGGUCUGAGAGGAUGAUCAGUCACACCGGAACUGAGACACGGUCCGGACUCCUACGGGAGGCAGCAGUGGGGAAUAGUUGGACAAGUGGGCGCAAGCCUGGAUCCAGCAAUGCCGCGUGUGUGAAGAGGCCGUUAGGUGUAAAGCUACGUUUAAGGUUAGGAAGAAAAACGUACGACUACGUAACAAC
rnacentral:rRNA from 1 species